AGAGUUUGAUCAUGGCUCAGAUUGAACGCUGGCGGCAUGCUUUACACAUGCAAGUCGAACGGUAACGCGGGGGCAACCCUGGCGACGAGUGGCGAACGGGUGAGUAAUACAUCGGAACAUGUCCUGGAGUGGGGAAUAGCUCGGCGAAAGCCGGAUUAAUACCGCAUACGCUCUGAGGAGGAAAGCGGGGGACCGUCUAGAAACUGGAUACUUGAGACUGGAAACUAGAAUUAAAUCCGGGGCUUCUUGCCCUGAGGACUUAAAUCUAGUCUCUUGUUUCUAGUCUCUAGUUUCUAGACGGCCUCGCGCUGCAGGAGUGGCCGAUGUCGGAUUGGCUAGUUGGUGAGGUAAAGGCUCACCAAGGCGACGAUCCGUAGCUGGUCUGAGAGGAUGAUCAGCCACACUGGGACUGAGACACGGCCCAGACUCCUACGGGAGGCAGCAGUGGGGAAUUUUGGACAAUGGGGGCAACCCUGAUCCAGCCAUGCCGCGUGAGUGAAGAAGGCCUUCGGGUUGUAAAGCUCUUUCGGACGGAACGAAAUGGUUACAGUGAAUAACUGUGAUUGAUGACGGUACCGUAAGAAGAAGCACCGGCUAACUACGUGCCAGCAGCCGCGGUAAUACGUAGGGUGCGAGCGUUAAUCGGAAUUACUGGGCGUAAAGCGUGCGCGGCGGUUCGCCAAGUCAGGUGUGAAAUCCCCGGGCUUAACCUGGGAAUUGCGCUUGAAACUAGCGGGCUUGAGUGUGGCAGAGGGGGGUGGAAUUCCACGUGUAGCAGUGAAAUGCGUAGAGAUGUGGAGGAACACCGAUGGCGAAGGCAGCCCCCUGGGUCAACACUGACGCUCAUGCACGAAAGCGUGGGGAGCAAACAGGAUUAGAUACCCUAGUAGUCC
rnacentral:rRNA from 1 species